UACGUAGGUGGCAAGCGUUGUUCGGAAUUACUGGGCGUAAAGCGUGCGCAGGCGGUUCGCCAAGUCAGGUGUGAAAUCCCCGGGCUUAACCUGGGAAUUGCGCUUGAAACUAGCGGGCUUGAGUGUGGCAGAGGGGGGUGGAAUUCCACGUGUAGCAGUGAAAUGCGUAGAGAUGUGGAGGAACACCGAUGGCGAAGGCAGCCCCCUGGGUCAACACUGACGCUCAUGCACGAAAGCGUGGGGAGCAAACAGG
rnacentral:rRNA from 1 species